AGCCAUCUGCAAUCCCAAGGAAGGCCCUCAUCUUCAGACGCAGACCAUGUUGGCAAUCUGAUCUUGGACUUCCAUUCUCUAGAACUGCUAUACAGGAAGCAUGGCAGCAUCUGCUUCUGGGGAGGCCUCAGGAAGUUUCCAAUCAUGGCAGAAGGCAAAGGAGGCGUGAAACGUCUUACAUGGCAGGAGCAGAAGCAAGAGAGAGAGCGAGGCGGGAGGUGCUACACACUUCCAAACAACAAGAUCUCAUGAAAACUCACUACCAGAAGAACACCACCAAGGGAAUGGGGCUAAACCUGUCAUGGAAACCACUCCCAUGACCCAUCACCUCCCACCAGGCCUCACCUCUGACACUGGGGAUUACAGUUUGACAUGAGAUAUGUGCAGGGGCACAGAUCCAAAACUUAUCAAAUACGAACUAUAGAUGAUUAUAUUCUGAAUCAGCUACAGUAAUGAUACCAUGAUCAUUUCUCUCUCAGAGAAACAAGACUAUAAUCUCACCACUGAUGAUAUAUAUGUAUGUAUGUAUGUAUAUACACAUAAGUAUCUAUCUGUCUAUAAUUUUUUUUGGUAGGUGUUUUACCAGGAGCUGUGAUAAAUUGACACCUUUUCACUUAGGGCUCCUUGAUCUCAAGGGCUAGACAGGAUUUAGAAUAUAGUCUAUGAUCCUGAGAGAGUAAUUAUGACUGGCCUGUGUAUAGACCUCAUCUGUGAUGUUUGUCUUAGCCUGCCUGUUGGUCCUAAUGUACGUGAGAGACUAGUUUCAUGAAAAGCCUUCUUCUUCAUUAUCUAGACUGUGUACCACAUACCUUUAUUUCCUAAGCUGUGUAACAAAAUGUUUGAAUUGCAUGAUCUCUGAAACCUCUCCAUUCUAUAAUUCUAUUAAGUAAUCUUUCUAUGCAAUUUUUCUUUUAUUCCUUUUUUUUUCGAGAUGGGGGUCUCACUAUGUUAUCCAGGCUGGGCUCCAACUCCUGAGCUCAAGCGAUCCUCCCACCCCAGCCUUCUGAGCAGCUGGAACUAUGGGCAUGUAGCACAGUGCCUGGCAGUUUUUCAUUCUUUUGAUUGAACAUUGUUGCUGGUACAAUCCAGAGUGUCUGUCUGGGUAAGUAAUAAUUCUUGGUUUCACAGCUGGUGAAAUUUUCAUAUAAAUUUGCUCUUCUAUUUUAUUAAGCCUUCCUUGCUAUCAAUUUUCCAUAUAUUAUUGUUAUUAAUUUGAGACAGAGUCUCACUCUAUCACCCAGGCUGGAGUGCAGUGGUGCAAUCUCAGCUCACUGCAACCUCUGUCUCCCGGGUUCAAACAAUUCUCAUGCCUCGGCCUCCCAAGUAGGUGGGAUUACAGGUAUGUGUCACCACACCUGGCUAAAAAUUUUCCGUAUAUAUUAUAUUCAACACAGAAAAGAUUGGGAGAAGACACUAAGUCAGUUUUUCUUUCGGGAGUCCAGUAUUACGUGAUGAGUCAAGUAAAGAAGAAAAGAUAAAGGAAAAUAAGCUCAAGAUGAUUCCAAAGCUUCAGGUCCAGGAAAUAGGGGAAAUGAUAGUGCCAAUAAAGCAUGAGGAAUCUGAACUAAUGAUGCUGGCACAUCUAAAUGGAGGUGAGAAUCACCGAAAAAAAUCAGACUAGAACCCAGGCGAACCAUCAAGGUUGGAGACAGAGGAGAGGUGAGCUUCCUGACAGGGAGCAUAAAACAAAGGAAAGGAAGAACGUGAGCAACCCAGCCAGGACUAGGCACAUGAGACAAGUGAUACAUAGAGUCCCACACACUUACUUGUACUAAACAUUAACCUGCAUGUCCAGUCCUACCCUGAGUCAACCUUGGAAAGAUAAGAGAGAUAUCAGAAAUUUCACCCUCACCAGCAAAGGAGGUUGAGAGAAGAGUGUUGGGGGGGCUGUUAGAGAGCAUCUAGAACACCUUGGCUCAUUAUCUGAUUCACCAAAGCUAAGAAUCCCAGGCCUCUACAGUCGUCAAACUAGCCUUGCCAGGUCAUCACCAUGGUUGCCCAAUCUGUAUGCAUGGUUUCUAUCCCAAUUCCUACUUCUCACUCCACUUCCCCUCUGGGAUUGAAAUGUUACCCUCAUAUUACCCUAUUCUUAGUCUGCCUGGCUGAAGCCCCAGGCUGUUGUUACCUUGCCUAUAUUCGGUCCCUUCUCACUGAUGAAUGGACUAUUGACUAGGGUCCUCCUUCAAGUCAGAGAUCUCCUCUCUCCUCACUCUACCCUCAAUUUUAAAGAUAAAUAAUGAAAGUCAGAACUUUCUGCAAUGAACCACCCUCAUCCACAUACCUGUGGAUCCUUGGCUAUCAGCUCCACUAGAGACGAAGCCACACUCCCUUGGACACUUUGAUCUGGCUUACUGGAUUUUGGAUUGGAGAAAUAAGAGAAAGUCCAUCCAGGAGAGUGUGCUAUCUCUAAAGCCAGGAGAAGAGAAACUUUUAGGGUAAGAGCCAGUUUUCACGCUAAUCAGUCCCUGCAGAAAGAUGAAAGAGAAUGAAGAUGGCCACAGACUGUUAGAUUUGGUAAGAAGUAGGUCACAGUAACAGCAGAGGGAGAUGAUUUCAAUCAUGUGGUAGACCUAGAAGGCAGAUUACCCGGAAUUUUAUUUUGAAUGCUUUUUAUAGUAGAGAAACUCAGAUAAGAAAGAUUCAGUCACUAUGAAACCUUUAUUUAAGUCUGCCUUUGGGUACAAAAUCACAAAAAAUGUCCAUAGAAGUUCAUCCAAUAUUUAUAGCUUCUCAUCUCCUUCAAUUUCCUUCUUCCCUUUCUUUAUUUUUCCUUCUCUUUUCUCUUACACAUCCUACUUACCCCUUCUCAUUUUCAAUUACAUUCCUAGUCUAGCUUAAAUAGAGAUACAGAAAAAAACCUUACUAAAAUAAUGAAAUCGAAAAAUAAAUACAUAAAAUACAUGCCAAGUACUUCUGGGGCCAGAAUGAAGAAGGGUGCAAGGGAGACUCCAUCAUCACCCUUAGAAACAUGAAAAUCUUAAUAAACAAUGGUAAUAGAAAACUGACCUACACAGGCCAGGCACUGUGGCUCACGCCUGUAAUCCCAGCACUUUGGGAGGCCGAGGUGGGUGGAUCACCUGAGGUCGGGAGUUCAAGACCAGCCUGACCAACAUGGAGAAACCCCGUCUCUACUAAAAAUACAAAAUUAGCCAGAUGUAAUAGCUGUAAUCCCAGCUACUCAGGGAGGCUGAGACAGGAGAAUCACUUGAACUCAGGAGGAAGAGGUUGCGGUGAGCUGAGAUCGCGCCAUUGCACUCCAGCCUGGGCAACACAGUGAAACUCUGUCUCGAAAAAAAAAAAAAAAAGAAAGAAAGAAAAUUGACC